CAAGAACUAAGUAGAUCAAAGUCUUUAAAGCAACUAAACCAGUCAACAGAAAUGAUAAUUCUAGUCUCAUAAUGAAAUCAAAAACAGCAAAAGAAAAAAAGAAAAAACUUGGAAAGAAAGAAAAAGCUCAAGUAAACCUUGGUUUUGCACUUAAAACCUUUAGUUCUUCUUAUCACCUCCCACUUCAAUCUUCUUCUUCUUUGCAGUGGCCUGAGAAUACAAGAAGGUACCGAAAAUCGCAAUGGCUGAUCCAAGAGCAUUCAGAGGUCUAACAGGAUUCCUAAACACCAAAACAG